UGACUGUAGGGCUGGAGGUUGUGAUAGGGUUGGAGAGUUGACUGUAGGGCUGGAGGUUGUGAUAGGGUUGGAGAGUUGACUGUAGAGCUGGAGGUUGUGAUAGGGUUGGAGAGUUGGCUGGAGGUUGUGAUAGGGUUGGAGAGUUGGCUGCAGAGCUGGAGGUUGUGAUAGGGUUGGAGAGUUGACUGCAGGGCUGGAGGUUGUGUUAGGGUUGUAGAGUUGGCUGGAGGUUGUGAUAGGGUUGGAGAGUUGACUGCAGAGCGCAUUGUCCUCUCAUUCAUUGUCCUCUGAGAAAAAUACCUUCAUCCUGUUAUUUCAUGCUAGUUGGUUUGAGAGGAAAAAACAAUGAGGGAGACUUGAGUCUUGUGACAGGGAUAUGCUAAAACUACUUAAAGCCAUAUCCUGUUUUUAAUGCAUGUGGUUGUUUUGUAGGCUUGAUGUUUGCCCCCCUCUUCUCUGUAACCUCUGUGUUUACUUCCUCUAUGAGUUUACUUUAUUCUAGUGGAUUUGGUCCCAAAGUUGGGUUUCCUCUCAAAGUUUGUGUUUUGGUCCUGGCUAGGAAUCUGGGCCUGUGAGACAUUAUCUGGACUUACUCAGUUAGUAUGGGUUAGCAUCAGGGGUGCAUUUAUUAGUCGGAGUCUGUUGCAAAAAGUUUUGCAAUGAAACCUGUUUACUGUUUGGUUCCUAGAGUAAACCGGCAAAAUGGAACAAAACAGAGAGGACUACCUGAAUUUGUACAAUAGAAACUAGUUUUCAUUGAUAUAAGUUUUACAUUUGCAACGGAAUCCGACUGAUGAAUACACUCCAGCGUUUGAACUCCUUUGUGCUGUUUGUUAAGAGUCCUCAUCACUUCCGCUGCUUUUAUACAAUUUUAACUGAAGCUUGUGGCCACAAUGACAAAUAAUGAAACUUGAUGUAGGCCUAAUCAAUGUUUUACAUCCACAUUUGACAUUACAUGCUUGAUGACUGACGGUUGCCAUAGUUGUGCACUUUCAUGUGCUCUCGUCAAAACGCUAUGAGAUCUUGUGGAGGCUUCUGGAGAUGGCAUCUAGCUAGUCAAAACGCUAUGAGAUCUUGUGGAGGCUUCUGGAGAUGGCAUCUAGCUAGUCAAAACGCUAUGAGAUCUUGUGGAGGCUUCUGGAGAUAGCAUCUAGCUAGUCAAAACGCUAUGAGAUCUUGUGGAGGCUUCUGGAGAUAGCAUCUAGCUAGUCAAAAUGCUAUGAGAUCUUGUGGAGGCUUCUGGAGAUAGCAUCUAGCUAGUCAAAACGCUAUGAGAUCUUGUGGAGGCUUCUGGAGAUAGCAUCUAGCUAACCUUAAAUCCUUGGCACUGGUCAUCGUCGGUUGAUUUGUUCAAAUCCGUUAUUUCCUCAUGACAUGCUGCUGUUUGUUGAGGUGCUUGCCGUAUUCAGGACCAGUUGCGCCCCGUCUCUGUGCGACUAGAAACCAUGCAUGGGUUGUUGGUCUGUCUUGUCAGCUGUUUUGGCAGAGGAAACUGGGAAAGGGUGGUCAAGCUGCAUUCAGUCAAACCCUACAUAAAGAACCAGGGAUUUCAAGCAACCAGUUAGUCCAUGUCCUCUUCAGGUGUUCCUUUUUGUCAGUCACAUCCGUGCCCAGUAGUUGGUAUGUUUUGGCAAGUGUAGUUAAUGGAUUAGCUAAUGAUCUCUGUGUCGUGUACAGGUUUGAGAGGUGCUUGUACAACAACAAAAAAGAACAAACAUAUUUUAUAAAACAUCUUUUACCAACUGACAGUAGGGUUAAUCCUUUUUAUUUUAUUUUUAUAUGCAAAAUGUUAAGGGCUUUGGCACUCCAUCCACAGUAACCCGAAAUGACCCUUAUUUCAGUUGUGUUGAUUUAAUAAAUUAUGGACCAGUAAAAUGGUGCCCUGAGUGUUCCUCUGUCCUGUACUGUCUAACACUGACCUCAACCUACAGGGCAGUGAAGGGCCUUAAAAACCUGAUUCACCCAUUCACCUUCAGAUAGACACAUUGUAGCGGGAGGCAGAUGGGAACCUUUCUUCUAAUCAUACCUGGACAUUAGAAACCCCAGCUUACUUCAUUAAUCUAGCCUAUUGUAGAAGGGGUUUGUCCACAGACAUGCUUGGUUUAGAUGUUAUUGUUGUAAGGGCCUAUCUAUCCUGUUCUCUGUGCUUCCCUGCUCAGAUAUUGGAUGGCAUUUCCUUCAUAUUAUCCUCUUGUGGUCGGGAAAUGCUGCUCAACAACAUUGACAAGACAAAGGAGGCCUACUUAAAGAGAUAUAUUGGUCUAGUAGUUUGUCACAAAAACAGUUUUCAGAGAACUGUGGGACAAGCUUUCCCUGUUGUUGAACAAUCGGGUAACCAUUUUCUGGUUCAUUCAAUACAGCACAACCUGAAUAUUUUUCUGCUGCAAAAUCAAGUCCACCAUUCUCUUUUACAUACUUACCGAUAUAUGUAUACACAAAUGCAGUCCAUUCUGUUGCAUGUGUGUGUAUAAAACAUACAGUAUGGUUUAAUCCCUGACAUCGAAGGCUUAGAGACUUGUAUAAAUCAUCAAAAAUAAAUAAAAUGGUGCUAUUGGACCUCAUGUUUGGGCGGUCGCAGGUUUCGUGACUGGUCAUGCGGACUCAUCGAUCAUAUCCGACUUAUUAUCCUUGAUAUAUGCAGAUCUGUUCAACAGGUGUUUUUUUCCUACCAGUGUAAGUCAACACCCUGCAGGUUUGAAAGGACAAGAAGUCACUACUAAUCCCCCUCCCCCCAACUCCCUGCCUCAUGGCCUGGGGGUUAAAGGUAUAGUCUGUCGUUCAGUAGAUUGUUGCAUCAGAAGGGGAGAUUCGCUCCUGGGCUGGGACAGUAAAGAGUUGGAGUAAAAGGGGUCUAUCACCCCUCCUCUCCAGUCUCCCAUCGUAGGCCCCUUUCCCUGUCCAGCCCACGAUUGGAUGUUCCUCUUAGAAGCACACCCAUAACACUUCAUAUUUUACUCUUGUUAAAUCGUGAGUUUUUAUAGCUGUCCUGUAUCAUUUACUCAUCCAUGGAGUUGAUUAUCAGCUUAAAGGUCAUCUGACAGAAGGUUCUCACUCAACUCUGGCUCUUACAAACUCCCUCAAAGGAAGUCGUGCUUCUCAUGUAAUAUUGUCAUUCAUGUAGUCCUCUAUAACAGUGGUUUCUUUAAGCUGGACAUGAGUGUGGGUUUAGUUGGCAGGUUUAGUGAGCCAGAUGAGUGAUUGCUGAUAUCAUCAGGAUGCUCACAUAAUUAUUGUAUUUGACUUGGACAAUUCGUUGCCAUUCAUGAAUCACUCUUCCGUAUGACCGUAAGUGUAUCAUGUAACGUAAUUUUAACAUGGAAAUGACUGAACGUAAAGGUUCAUGAAUAUCAAUAAAUCUCAGUCAAAUGUGAUGUGAUUUUCCUGGUGUCCUUCAAAAGAUUAUUCUGACUGCUAAUUUGCAGUUAGUUUAAACACACCUCUGACCAUGGACGAGUGACCAUUGUUCAUACUGACACAACUGGGAUAAGGUGUAAAGACAGUGUCAUUUGGUUCCAUUGCCGGUUUAGCCCCUGCAUUCCUUGUAUGUGUACCGGUAUGCAUAUAUUUUUGUGGAAUACUUAAGCUCCUAUUACCUUUGUAUGUUCAACCGAACCAAAGAUGCCUCUGCCCCAUAGAGAUGUAUAGAGAUCAUAACAUGGAAGUAACCUGUUUUUGCAUGGACAUUUAGGGCUUCCUCCAUUUUAAAAUGGUCAACUGGGUGGAGAUUCCUAUGGUUUGGGAGUGAUCGACCAAUGAGCAGAGCAUUGUUUUCUUCUUCAAAUUAGUUUGUAAUUGGCUUUAAGCUAUAUGACUGCCAUCUAACGGCCACAAUAAAUUUAACACAAUUUGGUUCAAGACUCCAUCACUGCAGGUGGUAGUAAGUCACCAAUGUUUGCUUUACACUUUUUCAAACAUCAAAAGAAGAAAAAAAUGGACUACUUUAAAAUGGAGAAAGCCUCAAUGGCACUGUGCGUGCUGUCACAGACGCCAUAAUGGCAUAGAUACAACGUAGCGAUUUCUAUACAUCUCUAUGUUCUGGCCAAGUCCAAAUGCUGCUCUUCAGGCCUGGCUUCCUGUCCUUCCAAAAAACACCCCUGCAAGAGACAAAAUGUUAUUUUUUUCCGUCUGUUUCAGAUUUUUUUUAUCUGUUUUUUGUACGAUUUCUAACUUGUCUUUUGAUUUCUUUAGCAACCUCUUAUUCAAUGAAUUUAAUUGAUUGUCUGAAGCCUUACCCGGCGUCAAGGACAGUGAAAUUACUUGGUUGCACACAGUUUUUUUUAUUUUGUUGUCGUCACUUGUAUUUUCAUUUUUUUCAUUUUUUAAACAAAAAAAACCCCAUAGCGUGCCUCCUAGAUGUAUGAGUUUCUGUGUUUCUUUCCUAAAGACCAGCAGUUAUACUUUAUAUAAAAGAUGAGUUUGUCCUUAUUUUUUACGCCGUUAAAGAUGAAAAAAGACCUCUUUUCUUUACUCUGGACCCAGUAGCUGCACUGGUAUACAAUCGCACUAAUAGAUAAACAAAAAAAAAUAAAAAUAAAUGAAUCAAUAAUAAAUGAAAUAAGAACUACAAUAAACUUGUGUUUGGAACUUUUAUAAGAUUUACUAAAAUAAAAUAAAUUACUGUUUUUGUACAUCAAAAUCUAUUAUUUUCCCCAAAACUAUUUUGGAUCUAGUUUCUAAAUUAUUUGAGUUGUUUUCUAUGUUCUGAAAAUGUGUCGCUGUGCAGAGCAACUGUCUCUGCUGUGGUGGCAUGACGGGGCGCGGGGUUGCCUGGUGUAACCCCUCACACCCACCUUUUAUUUCUUCUACUUUUCAUUUUUGGUUCCGUCUCUUUCCCUGCUUUAGUAACUUAAAUGUUGAUGGAAUAAUAUGAACUGGGGGAAAAAAAGACUCCUUUAGAGCUAGAGUCUCCUUCCUCUCCCAUUGAAUUGCUGUUAGUGUGAUGAGACUUGAAAUGGGCAUUUAUGAUAGUAUGGCUCCAAAAAAAUACAGAAAAUGAAAAAUGUUUUUAAAAAAUGUGUGGGGAGGGAGAAAAUCUUAUAUAUAGAUGGGUUAUCAGUGGGUAUGUGAGCAAUGGCUGUGGAUAUGAUCAUGUAGUUUUAAACAUUGUUAUUACCUUUUUAAAUUCAUUUAGCCAAUAAAAAUGAAUAAAACCAUGUG
ensembl:lncRNA